AAAACAACUAUCACCAAUCUCCAAGAGGCUGAAGGAAACUAGCCAUCGUGCUGUACCAACUGUUACUAGUAAUAUUAGCUAUUUCAUUUGUGAACAGCUACAACUACGAAUGCAUACAUAAUGGAAUAAGAUAUAAAGGAGUAUUUAAUAUGGACUGCAACACGUGUGUAUGUGAGGAAUAUGGCAAAGCAGUCUGUACAAAUUUGCGUUGUGAUUACGGGCAGGAAUCUACUUGUAUCUAUCAAGGUAGACGUUACAGAGUAGGAGAGACAUUCCAGCAAUCCAUAACAACGACACGGCAAAACUUUCAUGACAAACUUUGCAGAGUAAGAAACAUUGAUGUAGAGCUGGAAACGCAUUGUUCAAGAUUGACUUGGAAAUCACAAGCAUGAUUAAAAGUGAAGCCUGUCAUGUUUUCAAUAAUUCGAGCUGCCCACAAUACACGCACACACAAACAAACAGAUACACACAUAUAUACACGCGUGUGUAAAUAUUAGUAUGAAUUUGUGU
rnacentral:misc_RNA from 1 species